rnacentral:piRNA from 1 species
UGCCAAGGUGAACCAGCUUCUCAAGGUUU